AAUGCGGAAGAGUUUCUAGCAGAAAGAUUUGAUGAGAACAGAAGAUCAGAGCUUUAAGACUUCAUCAUAAUGGAAACCCCUGACAUGUCCUCACUGAUGCUAUCUCGGCCUGAGCUGAUUGAUUUUGAGGGCAUUUCUAUGACCCACUUCUUUACUGACAACUGGGAAAAUGUGAAGAACUUCCAGGCGAGACCAGAUGACAUCCUAAUCGCCACUUACCCUAAAGCAGGUACCACCUGGGUUUCUUAUAUAUUGGACCUUCUGUAUUUUGGGAAUGAUGCUCCAGAUCGCCAGACUUCACAGCCAAUUUACAUGAGGGUGCCAUUCCUGGAGUCAUGCUUUCAAGUUAUUCCAACAGG